UUCAAGAGCAUGUAAAAGUGUGGCAGUUGGCACCACAGCUACAAUAGCUUCUCUGGCAUUCACUUCAACACCUGUAAAGUCACUGCCUGCAAGAUCUUGAAGAUCUUUCAUCUGUAGCCACAGAUCAACCAGACUCAACUUAUGAUCCUGCCCAGUCCAUUACAGCUAAAUCAGUGUCUCAACUUUUCACGCCUUCAUCGUCAUCAUAUGAGGAUGCCAAGUAUAUGGUGUUUGAAGAGUGCCUCUUAAGCCUUUUUGAAUCCCUGCCCUGUAUGCACGAGAGUUUGCAAGGUACAAAAACACAGACGAGGGACCUUCAUUUCUGUUACGCAAUGCUGUCCUCAUUGCAAAUUCUACAGGCAGUGGAGUAGUCAACCAGUUAUCGGCAGCAUUCCUGUGGGCAACCUACAGUUGUCAGCUGCCAUCUACUUUAGUGGAGCUUCCUUUCGGAAGAUGAAAAAGAUGUUUGAAAUACUGAAACUCAGAACACAUACUUAUGACGCAUUCAGAUGGCAUGCCAGAACGUACCUUGAACCUGCCAUAAUCCACACAUGGAAUAAGUGGCAAGAGGCGGCAUUCGACUGCCUGAUCCAGAAUGGUGAAGUCAUACUCGGUGGCGAUAUGCGCGCAGAC